GUGAUGAUUAUUUGGGUGGAAAAUGAGCAACUUGGUGGCCAAGUAAAAUCUUGAGGAUUUGGGCAUUUAAAGGCUAUAUAAAGGGGAGGAGGAAGGGCCACGAGAAGCAAAGGAGAAAGGAAAGAAAGCAAGUGCAAGAAAAAGAAAAGAAAAAGCAAAGAAGGAAAGAAAGAGAAACCAGAUUGGAAAUCACCAAAAACGGAAAAUAAAGCUAAAAGCCCCUAGUGCUCGAAACCGGGCUGUAAACCGUGCUAUUGAAGGGAAAACGAUCAAGCUUUAUCAGAAGUGUCAAGCAUUACAGGUUCCAGGUUAAAGCGUGAGCAAGGAGGUGGAGCUUCACUAGCUUUGGGAUCUUGGAUUCAUUAUGCACCCCUGUAACCGAAGUAAUAUAUUGUGAAUAGCAGUUAGG